GACGAACGCUGGCGGCGUGCUUAACACAUGCAAGUCGAACGGAAAGGCCUGCUUUCCCUUGUGGAUUGCGGGUACUCGAGUGGCGAACGGGUGAGUAACACGUGAGUGAUCUGCCCCCAACUUGGGUAUAAGCCUGGGAAACUGGGUCUAAUUCCCGAUAGGACUGCAGGGUGGUGCCUGUGGUGGAAAACGAUUUUCUAGUGGUUGGGGAUGAGCUCGCGGCCUAUCAGCUUGUUGGUGGGGUAAUGGCCUACCAAGGCGGCGACGGGUAGUCGGCCUGAGAGGGUGGACGGCCACAUUGGGACUGAGAUACGGCCCAGACUCCUACGGGAGGCAGCAGUGGGGAAUAUUGCACAAUGGGCGGAAGCCUGAUGCAGCGACGCCGCGUGGGGGAUGACGGCCUUCGGGUUGUAAACUCCUUUCGACCGCGAGGAAGCCACCUGGUUGGAAGGGUGGUGACGGUAGUGGUAGAAGAAGCACCGGCUAACUACGUG
rnacentral:rRNA from 1 species